rnacentral:rRNA from 1 species
UUAAGUUAUUAAGGGCGCACGGUGGAUGCCUUGGCACUAGAAGCCGAUGAAGGACGUUACUAACGACGAUAUGCUUUGGGGAGCUGUAAGUAAGCUUUGAUCCAGAGAUUUCCGAAUGGGGAAACCCAGCAUGAGUUAUGUCAUGUUAUCGAUAUGUGAAUACAUAGCAUAUCAGAAGGCACACCCGGAGAACUGAAACAUCUUAGUACCCGGAGGAAGAGAAAGAAAAUUCGAUUCCCUUAGUAGCGGCGAGCGAAACGGGAAGAGCCCAAACCAACAAGCUUGCUUGUUGGGGUUGUAGGACACUCUAUACGGAGUUACAAAGGACGACAUUAGACGAAUCAUCUGGAAAGAUGAAUCAAAGAAGGUAAUAAUCCUGUAGUCGAAAAUGUUGUCUCUCUUGAGUGGAUCCUGAGUACGACGGAGCACGUGAAAUUCCGUCGGAAUCUGGGAGGACCAUCUCCUAAGGCUAAAUACUCUCUAGUGACCGAUAGUGAACCAGUACCGUGAGGGAAAGGUGAAAAGCACCCCGGAAGGGGAGUGAAAUAGAACCUGAAACCGUGUGCUUACAAGUAGUCAGAGCCCGUUAAUGGGUGAUGGCGUGCCUUUUGUAGAAUGAACCGGCGAGUUACGAUUUGAUGCAAGGUUAAGCAGUAAAUGUGGAGCCGUAGCGAAAGCGAGUCUGAAUAGGGCGUUUAGUAUUUGGUCGUAGACCCGAAACCAGGUGAUCUACCCUUGGUCAGGUUGAAGUUCAGGUAACACUGAAUGGAGGACCGAACCGACUUACGUUGAAAAGUGAGCGGAUGAACUGAGGGUAGCGGAGAAAUUCCAAUCGAACCUGGAGAUAGCUGGUUCUCUCCGAAAUAGCUUUAGGGCUAGCCUCAAGUGAUGAUUAUUGGAGGUAGAGCACUGUUUGGACGAGGGGCCCCUCUCGGGUUACCGAAUUCAGACAAACUCCGAAUGCCAAUUAAUUUAACUUGGGAGUCAGAACAUGGGUGAUAAGGUCCGUGUUCGAAAGGGAAACAGCCCAGACCACCAGCUAAGGUCCCAAAAUAUAUGUUAAGUGGAAAAGGAUGUGGCGUUGCCCAGACAACUAGGAUGUUGGCUUAGAAGCAGCCAUCAUUUAAAGAGUGCGUAAUAGCUCACUAGUCGAGUGACACUGCGCCGAAAAUGUACCGGGGCUAAACAUAUUACCGAAGCUGUGGAUUGUCCUUUGGACAAUGGUAGGAGAGCGUUCUAAGGGCGUUGAAGCAUGAUCGUAAGGACAUGUGGAGCGCUUAGAAGUGAGAAUGCCGGUGUGAGUAGCGAAAGACGGGUGAGAAUCCCGUCCACCGAUUGACUAAGGUUUCCAGAGGAAGGCUCGUCCGCUCUGGGUUAGUCGGGUCCUAAGCUGAGGCCGACAGGCGUAGGCGAUGGAUAACAGGUUGAUAUUCCUGUACCACCUAUAAUCGUUUUAAUCGAUGGGGGGACGCAGUAGGAUAGGCGAAGCGUGCGAUUGGAUUGCACGUCUAAGCAGUAAGGCUGAGUAUUAGGCAAAUCCGGUACUCGUUAAGGCUGAGCUGUGAUGGGGAGAAGACAUUGAGUCUUCGAGUCGUUGAUUUCACACUGCCGAGAAAAGCCUCUAGAUAGAAAAUAGGUGCCCGUACCGCAAACCGACACAGGUAGUCAAGAUGAGAAUUCUAAGGUGAGCGAGCGAACUCUCGUUAAGGAACUCGGCAAAAUGACCCCGUAACUUCGGGAGAAGGGGUGCUCUUUAGGGUUAACGCCCAGAAGAGCCGCAGUGAAUAGGCCCAAGCGACUGUUUAUCAAAAACACAGGUCUCUGCUAAACCGUAAGGUGAUGUAUAGGGGCUGACGCCUGCCCGGUGCUGGAAGGUUAAGAGGAGUGGUUAGCUUCUGCGAAGCUACGAAUCGAAGCCCCAGUAAACGGCGGCCGUAACUAUAACGGUCCUAAGGUAGCGAAAUUCCUUGUCGGGUAAGUUCCGACCCGCACGAAAGGCGUAACGAUUUGGGCACUGUCUCAACGAGAGACUCGGUGAAAUCAUAGUACCUGUGAAGAUGCAGGUUACCCGCGACAGGACGGAAAGACCCCGUGGAGCUUUACUGUAGCCUGAUAUUGAAAUUCGGCACAGCUUGUACAGGAUAGGUAGGAGCCUUUGAAACGUGAGCGCUAGCUUACGUGGAGGCGCUGGUGGGAUACUACCCUAGCUGUGUUGGCUUUCUAACCCGCACCACUUAUCGUGGUGGGAGACAGUGUCAGGCGGGCAGUUUGACUGGGGCGGUCGCCUCCUAAAAGGUAACGGAGGCGCUCAAAGGUUCCCUCAGAAUGGUUGGAAAUCAUUCAUAGAGGGUAAAGGCAUAAGGGAGCUUGACUGCGAGACCUACAAGUCGAGCAGGGUCGAAAGACGGACUUAGUGAUCCGGUGGUUCCGCAUGGAAGGGCCAUCGCUCAACGGAUAAAAGCUACCCCGGGGAUAACAGGCUUAUCUCCCCCAAGAGUUCACAUCGACGGGGAGGUUUGGCACCUCGAUGUCGGCUCAUCGCAUCCUGGGGCUGUAGUCGGUCCCAAGGGUUGGGCUGUUCGCCCAUUAAAGCGGUACGCGAGCUGGGUUCAGAACGUCGUGAGACAGUUCGGUCCCUAUCCGUCGUGGGCGUAGGAAAUUUGAGAGGAGCUGUCCUUAGUACGAGAGGACCGGGAUGGACAUACCUCUGGUGUACCAGUUGUCGUGCCAACGGCAUAGCUGGGUAGCUAUGUGUGGACGGGAUAAGUGCUGAAAGCAUCUAAGCAUGAAGCCCCCCUCAAGAUGAGAUUUCCCAACUUCGGUUAUAAGAUCCCUCAAAGAUGAUGAGGUUAAUAGGUUCGAGGUGGAAGCAUGGUGACAUGUGGAGCUGACGAAUACUAAUCGAUCGAAGACUUAAUCAA